rnacentral:lncRNA from 1 species
CGGCCACCGUCUGUGCCCACCCUCCCGUGACAGUCUGGACCAGCGUAGCUCAGGGCCCCUCCUCUCCCAGGGCCAGGCUGUGUAUGCAGCAGGCGCUCACCUCUCAGUGUGGCAGCCCCGGGCCAGGAUCCCAGCCCCUCCUCUGGCUCCAGGUCUGUGCCCACCAGGCCAUCCUGCCCGUGCACUUGGGGCCAGGUGCUGGGCAUGGCCUCCAGGAGCACUGGUCCGUGGCCAGCAGGCUGUGCCCUGGGAGCUCCCUCUGGGCCUGGACAGCAGCCGGACUCGGCCAGGAGGAGGUGCAGGGAGGGGCCUGAAGGACCAGCAGAGGGUCCAGAGACGCGGUGUCCCCAGGAGCGAGGAGCGCAUGUUGGUGGCCCCUCUGGCAGCCUCUGCCCUGGGCUCUCUGCUCUGCGGGUGCCAGAGGCCCCCGGCUGAGACCUCCCUGCAGCCCCGUCCCAGCAGAUGGCCGCUCCUGUCCAAGGCUGACCUCGGUGGGAGCCCUUGACCUUGUCUCAGUGGACACCCAGCUGCCCUGUCCAAGCAGGCUCAGGGCAGGGUGGAGGGGCUGCAGGGGGGGUACGAGCUGCCCCUUGGCGCAGGACCCCAGGAGCACUGGCAGGGUCUGUGGGUGGCAGGGUGGGGGGUCACCUGGGCACAAUCCUGGCUGCACGUGUGACAGAGAAGGGGACCAUUCAUCUGCCGUGCUGGGACCAGGUGGGACCCUCCAGGCCCAGGUGCCCCCUCCACACCCGCCCGCGCUCACCCCAGGGGCAGCAGGUACUUUGCUGGUAAUUAAAACGUCACUUCAUUGUCCACAGAGGAGCACCUCCAGGCUCACACUGGGCGAGUCCUGCUGGGCUCUGCACGGUCUCCUCACCUGUGCCCAGACCACUGGCAGGACGAGGACGGGGAGGUCCCACGGCUCCUGGGGUCCUUCCUAGGCCAAGGUCACAGCCCCCAGGCUGUGGGCGGGGGACACAGCCCAGGACACCGGACCCAGGGCCUCGGGUCCUGGCCAGAGGGAGGAGCAGAGUGGUGCCCGCCAGGCGCUGCAGGUGGGGCCGGCUCAGCGGGCAGCCCUGUGCCCUGGGCCCUCGGAGCUCGCUGGGGUGGACUGUGACACCACACCUCUUGCAGGGCUGAGGGGGCCUUGCCACCCUGUGGCAGGUCAUGACCGAGAUGUCACUUCAGGGUGUGGCUGUCCCUGGCCACCCCACCUGAAGUCCCCUCCCGCUGGCCCCUCAGUCCUGCCCUGGCCACCCCACCUGAAGUCCCCUCCCGCUGGCCCCUCAGUCCUGCCCUGGACUUUAUCGCCAUCAGCAAAGCAGGUGUCCUUGUCUGGACGCUGUGAAGCCAGGUCCUGGGUCCUCCACUCUUGGCCUAAUGAUGCUCUCCCCAAUGUGCCACUUGGUUCUCGGGAACCGGGAACGUGCUCUCAGCCGGGGAGCGGGGAUCAGCUGGACAGACACCUGCCCGAGUGGUCAGCCUCCCAUUGGCCGGGCCAGCCCAGCCCCCAACUUGUCAUUUGUCUACAAAUUCAUCUUUUUUUUUUUUUUUCCAAAAACUACAAAGAGAUUCAAGUCUGGCCUCCUCCUCGGGUUCUCGCUCCGGCGAGGGCCCUGUAAGCAGGUGAAGAGCUGUCUGCUCUGUCCUGGUCCUCAGAGGGCAGAGGGCAGAGGGCAACGCCUCACUCCUACCACCUUUCCCUACUGUGCAGCCGUUGCUGGCACACAGUAGGUGCUCGGCAAGGUGAAGUGGAAAAGAGAUGAAUGAAUGAAUAAGAAGUGUGGGCGGGCGGCGCUGGGGACAGGGUGGUUUCAGGCAUCAGGUGGUGACGCGCCGGGGCUCCCAUGUCCUCUGCUCAGCUCCCACGCAGCCCUUCCCCGGCACUCGGUGGACACAGCAGGGAGAAGGUCAUGCCCCCCACCUCCUGGAGCUUGUUCUCUGGGACAGGGUCCAGACGGCCCGGGACUCAGCAGCAGGCGGAGGGGCCGUGCCCUGUGUGACCAGCAGCAGGGAUCCUGGAUGGGUGUUAAGGGGUCCCUUAACAAGGGGACUGUGCCCGGGAAGCCACUGAGAAGACAAAGCUGGCCCUUGGCAGAGAGCUCCCGCCGCCCAGUCCCCAUCAGUGAGAUGUGGCUGCAGGACAGGAAGCUAGCCGGGGGGCCGGUCCCCGAGCCCCAGGACCUCCCGCAGUGAAGGCUGCCAGGCUGGGCUGGGCUGGCCGCAGAGCCAAACCAGGUCCCGACUCGCCCAGGGGUCUUCUUCCUGCUCCCGCAGAGGCCUCUGGGAUGCUGUCCACACCUGGCCCUAGAGGACUGGUUCCCAGGGCUGGUGACAGGCCAGGGCUGUGAGGGGCAGCGACACUGGGACCUGCUUCCUGGAUAUGUCCACAGGCACCUGCCCAGAGCAGGCGUUCGCAGCUGCUGGGCAGCAUGCGGAUGUCCAGCUGUAGCUCCUAGGACUGGCUGGUUGCUGGCACUUGGUAGGGGCCCGGCUGUGGCUCAGGCAGUGGCCCUCAGUAAGUAUGUACAACUGGGAAGGAGCUGGCCUGGCGAGGCCUGUCCCGGGCAGCAGGGACCUGACGGGGGAAGGGGGCCAGGGCCUCCAGGAUUCUCCCUGCUCUCUCUCCCCUUCCUGCCUGUCCCUCCCCGUCCUCCUCUCUGACCAGACAUGACCCUCUGGAGCUCUGGAGUCGGGGACCCGGGGUCUGGCAGACACACGGCCGGGCUGGGGGGUCCCCAGUAGCUUCCCUGGGUUUCUCCAGCUCCAUCCUGGGGGCAGGAUGUGGCCUUCAGACCCUUCCCCUGGCCUGUGCCACACAGAGGCAGUGGACCUUCACCCCAGGGCUGGGGCUGGACUGGGUGCAGGGGACGCAAGGGGGACACAGAUCCUGUCCCCACCUUUGAGGACAUCACAGUCCCCAAACUAUAAGCGUAAGUCAGACUGUGGAGUGAGUCCAGUGCUCACAGUGGACCUCACCCUGUCCUCAUUCACGUUUCAUGUUCAGUGGAGGGAGGGGUCACAGCUCUGUGUCCACAUCUGGGCCGAUGGUCCAUUUUAAAUCGAUGUUUGCACAAGGUGUGAGGUUCAGGUUGGGUUGAACUUUUUGCUAUCAGGACAGUUCCAAUACCAUUUAUUGAGUAGACUAUUUUCAAUCAACUAGAUUUAUUUGCACCUUGUGUUAAAAAUCCUUUGGCAAAAUUUAGGUGGGUCUGUUUCUAACUCUCGGUUUCCGUCACUGUUUUCCUUCAUUGAUAUUGCACUGUUGAUUGUAUAGAUUUAUAUUUAGACUUAAAAUGGGAUAAUGAUCUUUCCAAUCUUAUUGGUUUCAAAAUUGUUUUAAAUGUUCUAGCUCCUUUGAUUUUGCCUGCACAUCCUCAAAUUAGUUGGUUUAUAUGUAUAAACAAUCCUGCUGGCUUCAUAUGACACUAAAUCUGUAGAUCAGUGAGGGGAGAAUUCCCAUGUGUACUAUUUUGGUCUUCCAAUCCAUGAACCUGGUACGUCUUUCCAUCAAUUUAGGUUUUCUUUUAUUUCUUUAAUCAAUAUUUUGAUGUUGAAAGCAUGCAAAUCCUGCCCAGGCUUGUUAGAUUAGUAUCUAAGUACUACAUUCCAGGAAGUUUUUAUAAAUGGUAUUAAUUUUUUUUCUAGGAGUACAUUAUUAUUAUUUAGAAACAUGAUUGAUCUUUCUGUGUUGACCUUGCCAAUAUGUGGGCCCUUUAUUUACUUCCUUACCUUCAGAUGGUUCUUUUAAAAAUUAUUUUUUUUCCAAUAUUAAAAAUAAGCAGCAGCAGCAGACAGUUAUUUCACAUAAAAGCCCACAGGGCCUGGCGCCCUCACAUCAGAGCUGAAGAGCAGCCAUGCACUGACGGCUCUCUGUAGCCCCCAGGCCUCCUGCCACCCCUCAGGCACCCGCAACCCUAACCCUGUCCUGGAAGGCGGCAGGCAGAGAGCAGCGGCCUUUGUUCCCUUCCCUGGUGCAGAAACUGUGGGUGGCUUCCAGAGAAUCCUGUUGGCCAGGCUGAGGUCACAUGACACUCCCUGCAGAGGAGGGGGUUCAGCCACAGGAAUGAGGGUGGGAGGAGUUUCCACUGCCACGCACACCUGGUCUCGUUCAGAUGCCCACGCACACCUGGUCUUCCUGCAGAUGCCCACGCACACCUGGUGUUCUCGUUCAGAUGCCCAUGCACACUUGGUCUUCCUGCAGAUGCCCACGCUCACCUGGUCUCCUGCAGAUGUCCACACACACCUGGUGUUCUCGUUCAGAUGCCCAUGCACACCUGGUCUCCUGCAGAUGCCCACGCACACCUGGUCUUCCUGCAGAUGCCCACGCACACCUGGUGUUCUCACGCUUGCUGUGUGUGGAAACCACUGGGAGGACCCACUGCCCGUCCCUCCCUGGCACACUGAUCUCACUCGCACAGCCGGUGCCCACCAUGCAACCAGAGUCAGUUCCUUCCUGGACCCUCCUCUGCCGCGAGGCCCGGGCAGGAGGCUCAUCUCUGCUCCAGGAGCCUGGGGCAGAUCCCUGGGAGAAGCCUCCAUCGGAACCUAAGUGACUCAGAGCCCGGCACAGCACUCAGCAUCCUGGGAGGGAAGGAGAGUUCCCCGGGGCCCACUGUCCCAGACGGUGACGUCACAUAGUGUCCCGCGGGAAGCGCCACCCGGCUCCUCGGCCUCCUGAGUUCCCACCUGUCCUGUCUGGCCUGGCCCCACCUGGCCUGUCCCUGGAGGUCUCCAAGAUCUCAGGGUAAGGUCCUGUCUUAGUCUGAGGUGGCCAUAACCUGGGGUUCUUUCUACUUGGAGUGUCCCCCUCCUGGCCGGAGCCACCCUGGACAUGCCCUCCCGGGGGCCUCAGCAUGCUGCUCAGGUUCCCCACAGCUCAAGGCUCUCCCGGGGGCUCGUCUCACCAAGGACUUAGCACCAGACGAAACACAGAUGGGGCCAUGUCACGUCUCCAGGGGCCAUAAAGCAAAGACACGGCUUUAAACCUCUGCAAAUAUUUAAAAGUAAUGAAAUGACACCCUGAGCCUUCUAAAGACGGCCAUAAGUCUACCGCCCACGUUGAUUAUUGUGAGUUCCCCACUGUAAUAAAAUGCACUAUUGUGUGUUAUCAACACAAGGAUCGAGGCCUGUCAAUUUGAUAUAAAACUAACAUCUUUGCUGCAACAGAGUCAGGCAUUCCAUGAGCACCAGCUCUGCUCGUCUUCUGAGAAUUUACGCUGUCUCCUCUGGAAUCAUCUGGGAGGUCCGGGACUGUGGUAAGAAGCUGAUGUGCUGUGGGGGAUCAUGGCUCAGCUGGCCGGGGUGCGAGGGUCCUGUUGGCCCUGGACCAGCCUGCAGCUCCCUGUCCUCCCCUCCUGCUGACAAGCUCAGUGCCCGUCCCCUGGGGCUGGGAGGUGACUGAUAUAGCAGACUGCUGUGUUCUGUG